rnacentral:rRNA from 1 species
UACGUAGGGUGCGAGCGUUAAUCGGAAUUACUGGGCGUAAAGCGUGCGCAGGCGGAUUGUUAAGCAAGACGUGAAAUCCCCGGGCUUAACCUGGGAAUGGCGUUUUGAACUGGCAGUCUAGAGUGCGUCAGAGGGGGGUGGAAUUCCACGUGUAGCAGUGAAAUGCGUAGAGAUGUGGAGGAACACCGAUGGCGAAGGCAGCCCCCUGGGAUGACACUGACGCUCAUGUACGAAAGCGUGGGUAGCAAACAGGAUUAGAUACCCUGGUAGUCCACGCCCUAAACGAUGUCAACUGGUUGUUGGGGGAGUGAAAUCCCUUAGUAACGAAGCUAACGCGUGAAGUUGACCGCCUGGGGAGUACGGUCGCAAGAUUA